GGUUCCCUCACCAGGACCCCUCAAUCCACUUGAAUCCCACAACCUCCUCUGAUAGAUUGCACUUGGCAUGGAGAGGGCUGAGGCUGUGGAAUUCCUUGACCCCCAAAGCGGCCUGGGUGGGUAAUUGGUUUAUUGUUGUCACAUGUACCGAAGAUACAGUGAAAAGCCUUGCGUGCGUGCCAUCCAGACAGUCCGCCUGAUGAACGGGCUAACAGGAAGUGCCCAGGUGGGUUCGCGUCGACCUGCAUUGGCUCCUGUGCCGGAAUGUCGCCAAUCUGCACACCCAGUCACACCCCUUCGAUGGUCUUUCCAUCGUCGCCGGACUUUCAGACGCCGCAGAGACACCCCGCCCAGAAACAGGCCCUCGGUUACACCGACCACCAGGAGUCAUAGUAUCACCUCAUGGAAUUAAAGCGGGAGCCUAAUAUUUGGAUGUUUAUCAUGGAUAUCAUCAACAAGGCUUUGCAAUGUUCAAAUAAAACUAAUCUGUUAUUAUUGAAGCAAAUUAAAGUCCUGAUGAUGGGUCUUGGCCUGAAACGUCGACUGAUUAUUUCCCUCCACGGAUGCUGCCCGACUUGCUGAGUUCCUCCAGCAUUUUGUGUGUGUGUGUGUGUGUGUGUGGCUUCAGAUUACAGCAUCUGUAGAAUCUCUUGCGCCCCUGCUCUAUUGAAGCUGCUGCUUAUCUAACGGGCGCCGACAAAACGACGCUCGGGAGACCGCCUGCUUUUCUCCACGGAUGCUGCCUGGUCUGCUGAGUUCCUCAGGCAUCACAGUGUUUUUCGUUCAAACGAUGUUUAGGAUUGGGCGAGUCUCCGCCUACUUCGGAAAGUACAGAUUAACCAUCCUGGGAUGGUGGCCAUCCGUACAUCUGAACCGGUUCAACUAGAGGAAGGCGCCGUGAGUUCGCCAUCCCUGCCCUGGCGCCUGCUGUUCGGCCAAUGUCUAAACCAGCUCAGUGCUCUCCAAGUCUCUCUCUGCUGAGGUCGGGAUUGAUCAGUCCCACCGAGACGCCCUGAUCACACCCCCUCCUUCUGAAGGCCAACCGGGCACGACCCAUCCCGCCGCUGCUCUCCGAUCGGUCCCCACGCACUCUGCUCCUCCACCCACCCUCGGUCACGUUGUCAGCCGGGGGUGGGUGGACAUUGCAAAUACUUAAUGCUCGUCCCCAAAUCCCUCCGCCGGGAAUUGGGUAUGCAAUAGGGAGGGAAGAGGGUGGAGCCGGAGCUGUGGAACUGACGGUUUUGUUUUCAGAAGCGGAUGGAGGAGCAAACUAGUGUCGAAUCACAGAUGUGGAUUCACUAAAAUUAACAUCAGCGGGUUACCCAGAGAUGAGGUCACGACGGGAAUGUAGAAGUGAGAAUGUCAGGUCUCCGGGUUGGAGAUUAUUCCGGUAGAGUCAUCCCGAAGAAUGGGUGUCAACCAGCGUCUCUGACUCCCUCGGUUUCCAGCGGGGGUCUUGCACGUCAGACGGGGUCUGGGACAAAGCCAGCUUUGGGCGAUUAUAGGCAGGGUAUUCGUAAUGCUCUGGCCUCUUGCCCGCGAAGGCAGUCCAUUCCCCGCGGUCCUCACUUUCGGCUCUCGUUCCCCAGUGACCACCAUCCCACUCCGCCCCAGAUCAACAAGAUGCCUCGGCGGGGAAUUUCGGGAAAAGUUGGCCAUGUCUCCCAAUAUCUACAUCCUGGAAGAAAUAAGGAGGGCCAAUUUGCCUACUCUACCGUUUGUAUGGCGCCUGGUUAACCCGGGCAUAGAUCACUGUGUAGCCAGGAGGAGGGUCUGUAGAAGGGAGUCCGUGGUCUGCUCACGCCGUCGUCUAGGAACCGGCAGCCGGAUGGUUGAAGGGUUCCCGGCGCCGGUACCCAAGGCUGAGGGGAAACCUGUG